rnacentral:rRNA from 1 species
CACGUAGGCGGAUCGGUAAGUCAGAUGUGAAAUCCCGGAGCUCAACUCCGGAACUGCAUUUGAUACUGCCAGUCUUGAGUGAGGUAGAGGGGGGUGGAAUUCCCGGUGUAGAGGUGAAAUUCGUAGAUAUCGGGAGGAACACCAGAGGCGAAGGCGACCCCCUGGGCCUUUACUGACGCUGAGGUGCGAAAGCGUGGGGAGCAAACA